UGAGCCUGGUGGUCAGGAAGGUGAGGGUGGGAGAAGGACAGCAAAGAGGACGACAAGCAGCCAGCGGCCAUCCUACUUUUGGAGUGCGACUGCAUUCUACGUACAAAUACCUGGAAAUCGCUGGACGCCAGCCUCGCUGCAGGAUAUAAGGAAGUUAGAAAGAGGAGCAUGUGCACUCUGGAGGAAGGUAACAAGGCAUUGCAAGCCCAACUUCACACUUUGCUUGUCUGUCAGGGAGGUUUCUCCUUCACAACAAUACCCCAAUGUUUUGGUAGGCAGACUCCAGUUCACUUAGUAAGUGAGAGGCACGGGUGGAAUGCCAGGUAUGUCUACAGAGCGAAGCAGUGCAGGCAGGCUGACGCCAGGAGAGAAUAGGCAGGUACCUAUUGAGUUACAGGAUUUCUACAAAUCUAAUCCGCAUGUAAUGUGAGACUUAUUACAGAGCCAGCCUCUGCUAGGGCUGUGAAGUCUGAGGCUAUGAACAGUCUCUGAAGCAAUGAUCCCAGUUAACCCAUUGAAACCCAGCCUCGCUUGACCAAAGCCAACAGCCUCUUAUCCUUGUAAUGCUGUUGAAGGGUGAUAGUGAUUACAAGCUGCCUCCAAAUUGUAUAAAAAAAGAAUCCUCAGAGUAAGAUAUUAUUGAACUGAAACAGAGAUAUUUAAUAUGCCUGCAAACAGUGAACGCACGAUUACAACCACAGCAACUAGGGCUAUUUUAAGGCACUCUCUAAUAUGUCUGACACUGGAUAGUCUAUACAUUACUAAUGAUGGGCAUCUAUAAUUUAUGGUACAUUUUUUCACGUGAUAAAUUUGCUAUGAAAAUUUUAAAUAGCAAAAUUAUUUAUCAGUAUUUAAAAAGCAUCUACUUAAGGGAAACAUUUUUUUCCCUAGGUCAUCUUCAUUAAUUAUUAUAAUAAAUUGAUGAUAACUUUAUUAAGGGAAGGAAACCAGAAUUGCUAAUACAAAUAGGAAAGAGACCCAGGCACUAGAGUCUCAAAUAUUCAUGAUGUAUGUCAUAUACUUUUCUUGAUCAUCAGCUAACAAACCUCCUUGGAAAGUGGGCAAAAGAAAUGAAAGCAUUUCUAUACCUAACAUAUGAUCUUAAAAAUUCCCUAAAUGAGGCUUGAAAGGUUAAAAAUGAUCAGUCUUCCAGCCCUCCCCUAAUUACACACAGAUAAGAAAAUUAAGACAAUGGUUCUUACAUUAUCAAUGUAAUUGGGGUAAAAUCCAACCAUAACCCAAAUAAUUCACAUUACAAGAUAACCUUAAGGCGGAUUCACUAAUAAAUAGCAUUUAAGUUCAGAAAUAUUCUACGAAGGCAUGGCUCCAAAUUACUUUUAUCUGGUUGAUACCUUCUUGGAUAUGGUUAUAUCCAUCACCAUAUCCAGAUAGCUUGAAUAUUCCUGCAACAUUAACUUUCUAAAGUUUUAUCUAAUAACACAAAGAUGCUAAAAUCAAGGAUUUAAAAGUCUGUGCACUGAUAUGAGAAUUCAUAUUUGUUGAGCAUCUUCUGUGGUCCAUGUAUUCCAAUAGGUACUUUCGGUGUGUUAACUUAUUUACACAUUUUUAUGAUUCCUACUUUUUGGAUGAAGAAAAGGAGGCUAAGAUCAAGUAGCCGGUGAGAAACAGGUGCAGAAUUUAACCCAGGAAUGGUCAAUUCAAAGCACGGAUAGAGUGGAACUAAAUGUGGGAGAUAAGACAGCAGUCCUCCAAAGAGGAGGAAAGUCUAAAACUGAAAAGAACAGUAGAUUUGUUAACUGGAGAUCUGGGUCAAAAAAAGCCUCUGCUACUUCCUUGUUUCUGAACGGACAUACAUUGCUCAGUUCCUAUGUGUCUAAACAUGCUCCCUUUUGAGUAGGGAUGGGUAAGUUACAUCAUCAUGCUUUUGUGAGGCCCGAAAUCACAAGUGACCACAAGUGUAUAGAAGAUGUGUGGUGGGUGAUAUUAAAGUUAGCUUAGCUCUGUGACAUAUCGCACAAAUCUCUCUAUGUGCCUUGAACCGUGUGCUUUUCUAUAUAUGCACAGUGCGUCACAACAAUGAUUCUCUAUGUGGAACGGGUGGCAGAGAAAGGGAUAAAAAAUGAGGCCAUUUCCCCUGCUCCUGGAUGAACUGCACAACUCGGGGAGAAUGCAUUGAAGGAGGCUGCCUCAGAACAACAUUGCAAAGUUUGCUUUUAAGUUGAUCUGUGACAUUAAAGCCAACCCAAUCCUAAAUUUAUUCACUCCCCAGCACUGCUUAUUUCUUUCAAGCUAUUGCCAACUUUAUCCCUGUUUAACCUUUGUGGUAGAUAAGAAGAUGCUAUUAAAUUUUGGACUACUGAGUAGGCCUCUUGAAAACAGCAGUCAGAUUUAGAAAAAGCAUGUACAGUGAUGUUCUAAGCAGCUUUUUAAAAAGCAUAAAACACUGAUUAAAACAUAAAAGGCUGAUUAAAACACUGCAGAAGACAUUUGCAGAAAUAGCAACUUUUUGAUGCUGCUUCUAAUCCCCAAGUUAUUAAUAUCUUUAAUAUUUGGUAAAAAUAAGAAUUCUCUAAUGUGAAUGAAUGGUUUUACAGAGUGAUAAUAUCUUAUAUUAAUUGUUGCUUUGACUUUGGUUUUAAUAUGGCAUGAACAUUUAGGCCAGAUACAUAUUUAAAAUGCCGAAAUAUCUCUAUAAUUAGGUAUAUUUCUAUAUUUUAUAGGUUACAUUGAAAAUUCCCAACGAAAAUAAGGCUUAAAAGAGUUCAUUUCUACAAUAAGAAAAGCAGCAUUCAUGCUUGUAAAUUAAUUUUUUAAAGAAAUGCUCCAAAGUUUGAAAGCAAACAUUAAAAUCUUAAAAAAUAGUAUCUAGGGGCACCUGGGUGUCUCAGUCGGUUAUGAGUCCGACUUCAGCUCAGGUCAUGAUCUCGCGGUUCGUGAGUUUGAGCCCCGUGUCGGGCUCCAUGCUGAGAGUUCAGAGCCUGGAGUCUGCUUCAGAUUCUGUCUCUCCCUCUCUCUUUCUGCCCCUCCCCUACUCGUGCUCUCUCUCUCUGUCUCUGAGAGUCAAAAAUAAAUAAACGUUAAAAAAAUAGGAUUUAAAUCUGAACUGUUUAAAAUUCAACUUCUUGAUAUAUUUUCUGUGUGUACUUUAAAAGUGUGUAUUUUGCCAUUAUUGGGUGGGUGUUUUACCAAUAUUAAGUUGUUGGGUAGUGUUGUUCAAAUUUACCAUAUAUUUGUUGACUUUUUGUCUACUCAUCCUAUAAAUUAUUGAGAGGGCAGUAUUGAAACCUAUACCUAUACUUGUGGAUUUAUCUGUUUAUUUAUCUGUUUAGGCACAUCCUUGUUUAAGAUUGUUAUGAAUUGAUGCCCUUUGCAUUAUAAAAUGAUCAUCUGUAUCCUGGAAAUAUUCUUUGAUCUAAAAUCUACUUUGUCAUAUACUGAUAUAGCCACUCUAACUUUCAUUUUAUGAAUGUGAGCAUAAGUUUGAUUUUUUUUCCAUAUUUUAAUCUAUUUGUUUCCUUUUACUUUAAGUGCAUUUCCUAUAAGCAGCACACAGUUAGUUGGGUCUUGACUUUUGCAUUUAAUCGGACAAUAUCUGACCGUCAAUUAUGUAACCCAAUUAAAAGUUAAUAUGAUUAUUGAUACUGUUAGGUCAAUUAAUGUGCUUAUUGAUAUAGUUAGCUUUAUAUACAUCAUGUUCCUAUUAAUUUGAUAUAUCCCCUAUCUUCUUUAUUUCUUCUUUUCUCUUUAUCUGGCUUCUUUUAGGUUGGGUGUUUUGACGAUGCCAUUUUAUCCUCUUUGUUGGUUUAUUAUGACUCUGUGUUACUUAAUUUUGUGAGGUUGCAUAGUACAUAUUUAACUUACCACAGGCUACCUUCAAUGAAUAUUAUUCCACUUCAUGUAUAGUAUACAAUCAUUUCUUCUUUCCUAGACCUUAUACUCUGUUAUGCAUUGUAUUUUUGUCUGUAUUAUAAACUCUAAAAUAUAUUGUUUUGAUUGGACAGUUCUAUUUUACAGUGAUUUAAAUAAUAAGAAAAUAGUCAUAUAUUCUCCUUCUUUGGUAAUCAUUUCCAAUAUUCUUCAUUUCUUUGUACAGCUCCACAAAGGAUUUCAUCUAGUAAUACUCAUCUGUAUGCCGCCUCAUAUAAUUUUUCUUCUGUUUGAAGGGCUUCCUUGAACAUUCCUUGCAGUACAAUCAUGCUAGUGAUUAAUUCUUUCACUUUUAUGUGUCUAUUUUUCCUUAGUAUUUGAAAGGUAUUUUUGCUGAAUACAGAAUUCUAGGUUAACAAAUUUGUUUUCCAGUACUUUAAAGAUUUUGUUCUACUAUCUGCUCAUGUUUAUUGUUUCCAAUGAGAAACUGCUCUCAUCCUUUUUGUUUCUCUGUAUGUAAUAUGUCUUCCCCCCUCCGCCCCCCGGUUGCUUUUAAAACAUUCUUUCUAUCACUGUUUAUUAGUACUUUGAUUAUGAGGGGUCUUGGUGUAGUUUUCUUCAUGUUUCUUGUGCUUGGAGUUCAUUGAGCAUCUUAAGUAUAUGGAUACAUUGUUUUAAUUAGAUCUAGAAUAAUUCUGGCCAUUAUUAAAAAAAGAAUUCCUGUAUCCCUACCCUUCUUCUUCAGGGACCCCACGCACAUUCAUAUUAGGUGGCUUAGGUUAUCCAUGAAGACACCGAGGCUGUACUAAUUUUUAAAAUUUAUUCUGUUCUAUGUUUCAUUUUAGAUGGUUUCUGUCGUCAUGUUCACUAACCUCUUCUGUGAUACUUAAUCUGCUUAAUCUGCAAUACUUAAUAACAUCCAGUUUAUUUUUUUUCAUCUCACCCAUUAUAGUUUUCAUCUAAAAAUUUGACUUGUUCUUUUUUUUAUGUCUUCCUAAAUCUCCAAUUAACUUUUUGAACAUAUGGAAUACAGUUAAAAUAACCGUUUUAGUGUUCUUGUCUGCCAGCAUCCCUGUCAGGUCUGAGUCAAUUUCCAUAGAUUGAUUAUUCUCCCUAUUAUGGGUCCUUUCUUUCUGCUUCUUUGUGUUUUUGGACAUAUUUAAUGGAUAUCAGACAUUGUUAGGUGAGAGAUAUUUUGCAUUCCAGUAAAUAUGCUUUUUUAUAAAAGGUCUAUUUAUUUUUGAGACAGAGACAGAGAGAGAGAGAACAGAACCAGGUGAGGGGCAGAGGGAGAGAAGGAGAGAGAGAACCCCAAGCAGGCUCCACACCACCAGUGCAGAGCCCUACACAGGGCUUGAUCUCACAAACCAUGAGAUCAUGACCUGAGCAGAAAUCAAGAGUUGGAUGCUCAACUGACUGAGCCACCCAGGUGCCCUGCAUUCCAGUAAAUGUUCUUGAACUUUGUUUUGAGAUGCCAUGAGGUUACUUGAAAUAGUUCAAUCAUUUUGGGUAUUGUUUUAUAAUUUUUUUAGGUAGGUGUGGCUCAGUGCUCAUUUUAGGGGUAAUUAUCCUUCAUUUCUAAGCAAGAUCUUACCGAGUACUCUACCCAGUGCUCCUUGAAUUAUAAACUUUUCCAGUACGGUAGAAACAGGCAUUCUCCAGGCUCUGUGUGAGCUGCAAGUACUCUAUCCUUGAAUCAUUUUAGGUGGCUCUUUUCUUAGCCUCAUGUAGUUUCUUUAUGUACAUGUGCUGAUCAGUACUAUGCUAAAUAUUUAGGUAACUUCUGUAAACCUCUGAGUUUCUUUCUCUGUGUAAUGUCCUCCUCUCCAGUACUUGACCUGUGAACUCUUGCUCCCUUGGUUUUCCCAGAUGCUCUCCUCUGUUUUCUCAAUUCAGGGAGAUCCCAGACUCCAAGUGGCUUUUCUUUUUCUGUGCUGUCGCCUUGAACCUUUUCAAGAUAGAAAGCUUGGACAAUCAUAAGGUUCACCACACUCUCUGUUUCUUCAGGAUUUCUAUAAGUUGUUGUGUAGUGUCUCGUGUCUUGAAAACCACUGCUGUAUUUCAUGAGUUUUGUCUUUUUGUUAUCGUUUCAUUCUAGAAGAUAAACCUAGUCACUGUUUCUUCAUCUUGGUCAGACACAGGUAAAACUCAAUUUCUAAACCACACAGAGUAAUGUAAUAAUUCUAGGAACUGGAAUUGUUCUUAUCAAUUUCUAGUUUCUCAUUGAAUAGUUGAGGACAUUAAUGUGCAAAAAAAUAAGUAGUGUUUAUAAUAUCAUACAACUAGUUAUGUUGAGAGUAUUAAGAAUUUAUGUAUUCUUAUGUCCAUAUUCUAGAAUUUGUCUGUAUAUGUUUUAGUCAUAGAUACAUUUGAAAGGAAUCCCAAAGUCAUCCCUUUUUCCAUUCCCACUUCUUAAUUCUCAGAUACUGUGCAGAAACCAGAGGCUACUGUGGAUCUGGGCAAAGAAAUAGAACUAGUUUAACUAUUUCUUCUGUUUCCUGAUAUGUCUAAACUGAAAGCAGAAAACCAAAGGUUAGCCAGGGAAUUUGCCUCACUGUGCUGAUUCUCCUUCAGUCAUAGUUCAAAACUAAAACAAAAACAAGAAACCUUCUAUGUGAAGAGAAAUCCCACAAGACCAUUUAGCCUGAGAGAGUUAGAAACUUAGAGUCAAUGUGGACUCCCAAACAACAGAUUAAUUAUCAGUGGCAUUGCCCAAGGUAAUCAAUAGCUCUCCAAGGAAAGGUCCAUGUUAACCACAUGGAAAAGGUUAAGGAUAGGUGGAAGUUGAACAAGUGAAUGAGACAUGUAAGGACAACACUCAUACUACAAAAUUAGUCCUUUUAUUACCUUGUUAUUCUUUCAGUUCUUUCUUCUAUAAUACCACCUAUAAAACAAUCUCAAAGAGGUACUGAUUCAUACUACAGAUUAAAUCUCUGAUAGAUAAACACUGGUGUUAUCCAAUCUAAGGUAUUUAUAAUUUAAAAGAACAAUCUUGGUAAUUCUAAGGUAGCAUUUCUGAAAGUGUAUGCCAUGAUCAUUAAUAAAUGCUCAUGAAAUUAAAAAAAAAAACCUUCUGAUUUAAAUAUUUGGCUUCUCAAAGUUAAGCAAUUUGCUUUAUUGUGGGCCCUUCAGUCUCCAAGUCAGUGAUGGACAAGUAUACAUCUCUAAGACAGCAAAUAAAAUAUUCAUCAUUUCCCAUGGGGACAUUAUUUCAAAACUAGUGUUCUAUAAAAGUAUGUUGAAAAAGUUAACCUAAGAAAUAAAUUCUAUGGUUACAUUUUCAGAUGUUAUAAUAGUUUGGUGGGAAAGUAUUUUUGAGGCCAAGAACUCUUUUUUUGAGAUCUAAGAAAGUUAACAACUUCAGUCCUUCCAAAGGUGACCUUAUGAAUUUUUCAAAUCAGUUUGUUGAAUACUGUUGUUGAAUACAUAGAAACUAUGCUCCAACAAGAGAAAUUAACAGACAUUUUCUACCCAUGAUACUUCCCAAGCAGGAACCAUUACCCCUUAAUUACAGAACACUGAAAUUGUAUUUUGGGGAACAAAGAGGAAAAACCUUAGAUGGGUGGCAUAAGGAGGAGGAAUUAGGGGUUCAUUUUCAUUUCCUUCCAAACUAAUUGCCUAAAGAGCUUUUUAUUUCAUCAGGAAGUACACUAACAAAUGGCCUCCUUGACUUUUGCUAAUCACUUUAUUAAUGCUUUAGCCAGAUUUUAAAAUAUGCAGUAGUAUUAAUAUCUGAGGAGAAAAACCUUUAUUGUGCAUAAAUUACAAAUUUACUAUCUCAAUUGCCGUUGACUUUUAAUGUUUCCUUUCCAGAAAAGCCCUAGUGCAUAUUCUUCAGGGAGCAAUUCUGCACUCUUAAGGGAAUGAACUGAAUGACCUAAUAGGUCCUUCCAUCUUUAAUUUCUGUAAUUCAGGAAAGCCUCAUAAAACACAAGCUUCCUUUGUGAAUUAACUUUUCUCUGAAAGUAUUGAAACCACUUUCUUGCUUUCUUUGGAAGUACUUUAAAAUGUUUAACAAUAUUAGAAAUAUUUACUGGACUUACAUUGAAAAAUAUCAGCUAAGUUAUACUUGAUGCUUCAAGUGUACUUCUCCUGAAAGAUACAAUAUAUGACCUGUGACCUCUUCACUUCUUUUCCAAUUAUAGGAGGCCAUCCAUUCACAACAAGAAAAUGAUUUGGGGGAGAAAGAAUCUUUAAAAAAAGUCAAAUGAAACUAACAACUAAUUAAUUACCUUUUAUGCAGAAAGUAUGGUGCUAAAAUACCAUUGUUAAAAGAGCAAAGGCAUUUAUAGAAACUCAAAAGUGGUAUUAUAUCCCUGUUUUAAACUUUCCAGCAAACGUAAUAAAAUAUAUAUAAUAAUUGUUAUUGAAAAUAAUGUGUGCUAGGGAGCAUGAAAACUCCAGAGGAGAUAUAGACCUUGAAUUUUUACCAUAAAUGUUUGCAAUUUAAGAGGAAAAGCAAAACUUACUGUUAUAGAAUAAUUAGUCGCAACAUAAUGAGUCAUGAAUUUUAUGAAUACGAGUGUUCUGUUGGAGCUAUAAAGGUGGGGGUAUGCAUAAAGACGAAUGAGUUGAAAGGUCAUGUGCAACUCCUAUCUCUACCUCCCAGAACCUGUGGUCAAAUAUCUAUCACGAUAAAAAUUCUCUACCUUGGAAUUCAAAUUUCGGAAAGGUUUGGGGUUCCAUGAAACACAAUAUCAUCUGCAAAAUUGUGUGUUUGUGUGUUUUUGUGUUACCAACUUUUAUGACAUAUUCACGGGUGCUUGUGACCCUAGAAUGUUUAAAGAGAGUAGAUAUUGUCUUAAAUGGUUAUAAUUUUAAACUGGCAUAAAAAUUCAUUUAAAUAGCAUAAAUUAUAGCAUUCAAAAUAAAAUCUACUUAGAUGAUAUCAGUAAAUUAAUAGUAGCCCCAUUUUGUGACUUACUUGGUAGAAAAUGUCAACUUAUUUCCAACUGCAUAUUAUUGAAUAUUUUUCAAUAUCAUUUGAUAGUGGUAAACCACAUAAUAACUUUGUUUUUAGCACAUAUCUCCCCAAAGUUCAGAUAUAAAGCUAUACCAAAUAGACAUGAACUUUGGUAUUGACUUUGGAAGGACAUAGUACUAAAGAAUGGCAUUUCCAGAUUUAAAACACAAGUCAAUCAAUAGAUGAUUAGAUAAACAAAACACAGUAUAUAGAUCAAAUGGAACAUUAUUCAGUCAUAAAAAGUAAUGAGGUUCUCGUGGAUUCUACAAAUGGAUGAAACUUGAAAACAUUAUGGUGUGUGAAACAAGCUAGACACAAAAGGACACAUAUUAUAUGAUUCCACUUAUAUGAAAUAUCUAGAAUAGGUAAAUUCAUAGAAACAGCAAGUAGAUUAGAGGUUACUAGGGACUAGAGAAAAACAGAAAUAGAAAUUUAUUGGUUCAUAGGUAUAGACUUUCAUUUUGGGGUGAUAAAGAUUUUUAGAAAUAGUGGUAAUGCUUAUACAGCUCUGAAUGUAAUUAAUGCUGUUGAAUUGUACACUUAAAAUGGUUAAAAUGGCAAGUUUUGUAUUAUGUAUAUUUUACCAGAAAUGUUUAAAAAUAAUUGAGAAUAUUUUCUUGCUUUGCCUUUCUUAUAUGGAUCUUAGAGUUUAAUUAUCUUCACCCUGAAAAUCCAGGGGUUUUAAAACAUUUACACAAGCCAACUACUCUACAGAUAGUGGCAUUAAGAGUAACUUGUUUUGAUUAGUAACCUAUGUUUGUAAAAGACAAGAUGAAAUAUUGACCAAGAUAUGAGUAUCAGUGAAAAAUAAAAUAGAAGACAAGUAAGCAAAAGACCUUUGAUCCAUGUUAGCAGUGGAUGAAGCAUCACAGUUAUACCCAUUUCUGGGACAUUGAGCUCUUUGGUAAAAAGAGGAGAAAUGCUAUGGUUGAUGGAGAAGAGAGGGUUCUAGGAUAAGAAUCAGGAGAUCAACAUCCUAGUCUGAAUUCCAUUGUUUCUAUAUAUAGUAAUUCUGGAAGCUUACUUCUCUGUGUUUUCCUUCUCUUACUUGUAAAGUUAAAGGGUUAGUUGACUAUUUUUAGGUAUUCUAGCUGUAAAAUUAUAUAUAUAUCUAAUUUCAGGCAUGUAAUUCAAUGAGAGAUCACUUGUUGAAGCCAAUUCUUUAGAAUAAAAUGUUGAUGAUUUUUAGAAUUCUAAUUCUUAUUUAUCACUGUCAGUACUGUCUGGAAAUUUGACAUUAUCAUUUGAGUCUAAUAAGUUAAUUUUUGUGUGUGUGGAUACAUUUCAUAAUUUAAAAUAAUGACUUGAUUCUAUCAAGAUGCUCUUAUGAAAUUCUCUAUCAACAUAUUCUUCUAAGAAUAGGGUGUGGCAUUUAAGCUUGGAGACUACAGAGUAUAACCAAACUAUGUACCAUGAACUCAAUUUGUACUUUUGGCCAUGUUAAUCAAUUUGAAAAAUAAUUGUUGAUUUUAAAAUUCACUGGAAAUUAUUAAGUUCUGAAAAAGUUAAUUGAAGACUCCCUUCUUGCUAUAUGGCAAAUAUCAUUUUCUUCUUUUUCACAAAAGAACUACAAAGGUAUCUUUAACUUUACAAGUAAUAUUCCUUUUGAAUAGAUCAUCCAUCCUGUGUAGCUACUAUUCCUCAUAUUCUUUAAGUUCCAUCUCAAAAUCCUUCCCCAGAAAGUUUUCAAAACUCCCACCAAAUUAAACACUUGUAGAAGGUUGAAGCUAGGAUGUGUUUUCAAGUCCACUGCAUGACCUGUCCAUACAACUUUUACAAAAGCCAUAUAAUUUUGAGGUUGAAAGUGGCAAUGGUAAAAACAAUAAUCCCAUACAAUUUGUAAGCACAAUUCUUAAAAAAUUUCCCUUUGAAUAUACAUCUUUAAUGUGUAAAAUUUAUUAUAAACAUUUAUUUUUUAAUUUUUUUAACAUUUUUUAAAUUUAUUUUUGAGACAGGGAGAGACAGAGCAUGAAUGGGGGAGGGUCAGAGAGAGAUGGAGACACAGACUGAAACAGGCUCCAGGCUCUGAGCUGUCAGCACAGAGCCCGACACGGGGCUCGAACUCACGGACCGUGAGAUCAUGACCUGAGCCGAAGUCGGACGCUUAACCGACUGAGCCACCCAGGUGCCCCUAUUGUAAACAUUUAAAAUAUUUUACCACUUUUAGAUGAAUCACUUUGUUUAGAUAUUGGGUUCCCCAACAUAUUUCUAAAAGAAGGAAAAGAUGCCUUCUAGUUAUUAUUUGAUCCUACCCUAAUAUAGUAGCCAUUAAAUCACAUGAUAGGCAUUAGUUUUGUUGUUCCUUCUUUUUUUUUUCUCCUUUCAUUGCUGUCCUUAACUUCUUAUAGCUAUUUCUUGUAAGAAACCUCAGUUUCUCAGUGAGUUUGAAGUACACAAGGUAUAUCAGCAAACUCACAACAACUAUGGAUUAUGGCAUAACUUUUAGUCAUGUUACAGCAAUCCCAGGGUCUAGGUUCUCCAGCUUCCCCAAAUGCACUGUAUUGUCAAUCAUAUCUAGGGUUAAGGAUGUCUAAAUGGCCUCUCAGUUAUGGCGCAGGGUAGUAUUUGGACUCAGGUGAUCCAGUCAAUAAUCUUCAUUGACUUACUACCUAAUGUCUCAGAACUUGUCCACUCUCUUUGGGACCAAAGCUUUACCUUUACUGCCCUUGGGACGUUUGAAUACCAUUAAGUCCUCCUAGACUCCUUUAACAUGGAUUACAUUAUCUAUCUUCCACCUAGGGCACACUACAGUAAUAUGGGCAGGUGUUCUAUUGAGUAAACCCUAACUUUUUUUUUUCCAAAUUAUAGUACUUGGUCAUAUCCUUCACUACCAUGCCUCACUCAAAACUUUAAUCCUCCUAGAAUAUAUAGUAACUGAUGCAGAGUCAUUGUUCAUUCACUGUGCAAUAAACAGGCAUACCUAACAAUGUAUCUACAGCCCUUUAAAUUUCCUCUAUAAUAGUGUUCUUUUGGUGAUACAAGAAAAUGGUGAAUUAUUGUUCCUGUUGGGACAAAAAGAGGUGCAAAACAACUUAGAAUUAAACAACUUUGAAAUAGACAUUUUAUUUUUAUUCUUUUUUUUUUUUUUAAUUUUAAGUAAUCUUUACACCCAACGUGGGGCUCAAACCCACAACCUGGAGAUCAAGAGUCACAUGCUCCACAGACUGAGUCAGCCAGGCACCCCAGAAAUAGAUAUUUUAAAGAGUCAACACAAAUUUAAAGCAAUUCCUUUAAAGAAUCCAGUAACUUGUUAUUGGAAAAAUGUCUUAGUCAUCCGACCAUAUAAUGCCAUCAAAGGGCUUUUCCAUUUGGUAGAUACAUUGUCAUAGGGAAACUACAUUUCUAGGGACAUUAUCUACAAAUGUUUCCCAGAAAAAAGAUAAGGAAAGCUAUUCGGUUUUAAAACAAAUAUGUCUUCUCACUCGUCCUCUAUUGAGCCUUACAUUAGUGGAUCAACAACUUUGUGAGAUUCCAGAUUUGUCUUAAAAACGAUAUACUCACUGGUAAUCAGCUUACAAAAUGAUUUUAUAAGCACUGAGGAGGGGGCGGGGUAAGGCAGAGGAACAGGUAUUCAGCUUGCUGUGAGUACACUAUGUCAUCCCAUCCAGCACUCUGAUACCGCCUUCCUGCUUUAAAGUGCAAAAGCACAAUCUGGGAAGUCUUCCAAAUCCGUUUUAAGAAAGAGGAAGCACUUGCCAGGAUACAGGAAGCACUAAACACAGUACUGGUAUUUUGUUGUGUUCUUUCAGCAAGCAUUGCCAGAACUCUCCAAGAACGUUUAGUAAUGACAAAUAAUGGGAAAUUGGAAAUUUGAAAUGGGAGAUUAUCUUUUUUUUUAAUUUUUUUUUCACGUUUAUUUAUUUUUGAGACAGAGAGAGACAGAGCAUGAACAGGGGAGGGUCAGAGAGAGGGAGACACAGAAUCAGAAACAGGCUCCAGGCUCUGAGCUGUCAGCACAGAGCCCAACACGGGGUUCAAAUUCACGGACCGCGAGAUCAUGACCUGAGCCGAAGUAGGCGGCUUAACCGACUGAGCCACCCAGGCACCCCAGAAAUGGGAGAUUAUCUUAGCCCAAUUCCAACGAACUAUUUUUCUCUGGAGGCAAAUAGUAAUUGUCAAGUAUAAAAUAAAAGUUUCUUAGGAAUAUGAGGGCAUGUAUGGGCAUAAGAUCUGAUCCUCAGAAGUCUAAUAUAUACGUUCAUUAGUUUUAAAUUUCCUGUUUAGUUUCAACAGUGUGGUUCCAAUAUUAGGUUUAUAAGAAACGUUAAAUAGAGGUUUUGUGUUUUUGCCUAAUUUCUAGCUCUUCACAGACUUUGGAAAAGUAUCCUUGAUUAAAAUUUUAAAUAAAUAAAUAAACUUAAUGUGGUUUUAUUAGAUGUCAGCUUACCUAGUCUAUGAUUAAAUUAUUUUAUUAUUUUACAAAAAUUUAUAAAUAACUGUUGCAUCCAUUGUAUCCUUUUCAGUGUAAUUGGGAACUAAAAAAACUUAAAAUAAUAUUUAUCAUUAUUAUUUUAUGUUCUUAAAAGGAAGGCCUAUUGAAAUAAGUAUAUGUACAAAAUAAGGUUAAAGGGAAGGUGAGGUUAUUAUCACUCCAUUGAGGUUAAUGAUGGGAUUUUUGUCUUUGCAAGUUCUAGAGUAACUGCAGCUUUUAUACAUCCAAUUGAGCAUCAGUAUUUGUGUGGCCAAAGUGAUUGGCUUAUACUCUUCUUGAAAAGAAGCCAAAGAUUGCAGGCAAUACAAGUUAGGUAAUUGUUGAUUUUUUUUUCUAAUAUCUUAUGGAAUUUGGAAAUGGUUCCAGAAAUACUAAAUUUCUGAAAUGUCAUUUAGGGAAGAGUAAAAUCAUCUGUAGUGGAAAUAAAUUAACACAGUAAUGAAAAGUCUACAUGGCUUAGCUAACAUGUUAACAGGGUUAAGAUUAAAACUGUCUGCAUCUGCCUGAGUUUUAGUCAUUCUUUUAUAACCUAUUUCUUACUUGAUACCUUCUUCCCAUUCAACCUCUCAUUGCAACUAGACCAGUUCAGACCCACAUUACUUCAUCCACAGAAUACUGCAAUGGUCCUGGCCUUUGUCAUCCCAAUCCAUCUUGCACAGUGCUGUUAGAGGAAACUCCCGCAAUAUCGCCAAUGUUCUUGUCACACUCUGACUCAAAAAUAUUCAAUUACUUUAUCUAUUAAUUUGAUUCAGGAAUACCAAAUAUUUCUGAAAACUCUUUUAAAACAAGCCUCUAUACUUCAACUGGUCUACUCAAUCUAUAUCCUGAAUACUCCUUAUAAUUAUAUUACUCAUUCCCAUGUGCUUGUUCACAGUCACCCUUUCAGUGACGGCUUUUACCCUAUAGACAACUAAUAAAAUGACAAUAAAAAUCAUACUUUUAAUAAUAAAAUAUAUAUCUUUAAUAUUUAACUCAAAGGUUACCUGUUUUAUGAAGAGUUCUAUGAUGUACUCAUAAUCUUUCCUGAACUCCCUUUAAGCCUCUAAUGCCUAUAACAUUCCUGUGUGCUAAUGAUCACCUGAUUCUCUAACUGUCCUGAAACAAAGUGUAAAGGUAUUAUUGCUUCUUCAACCAUCUUGGUAUUGCUGCCCUGAGUCUUAGGAUAAAUGGGAUGGCAAAACCAGUUUUUAAGGCAGUGGAGGCAGAGAGGGCAUGUCAGAGACAUUCUCUUUGAUUCAACAGCUGAUGGCAGACAUGUUGAAAUGCGCCCUGACUGCCCCACAGCUGAGCGAUUACGGGUUGUCUCCUAGAUUCUUAUUUUGACACAAACAAAUGGAAAGCCAAGAAAAUCCUCCAAGGAUUUUUUUUUUUUUUAGAAUUCUUAGGAAUCUAUAAAGACAUUCAAAAGAGCUUAAAAUUAAACCCUUUCAUAAGCAACUUACACGAACAGAAAAAUUUUACUCCAGCAAAUCUCAGUGGAAAAUGUUAAGCUUAGUCCUUAGAACCAAAAGUGGUUUUGGGUUAUGGUUGCUCAUAAAAUGGAUUCACUGAAACAAAGUAGAGGGUACAAAUUAUCUCAGGAUGAUUUGAAGUAUUUAUCUCAAUUUAAUAGCCUUUAAUUUAAAAGCAGACCCGAAGAAGAUUAUUGAAGGGAUUUUAAUAAAGAGACUAUUUGCAAAGAUUUGAGGUUUAUGGCACCAAAAAGAAAUGGUGCAGUACCCCAGAGGUAGCAAUAUCAGAGAGCCUUACCCAUCUCUAGGCCUGAAGAGGUAAGUGGAGGGAGUUGUUACCAUAACCUGGAAAGAGUUAUAGCUGUCAUUGUAAGGGAGGACAAUCUGCCUAACAGGAGCUGUGGCCUAUAGAAGAAUACAGUCACUGACAAACUGAGGACAAACAAGAAGGAAAUAUAAUUUCCCUGACCUUUCUCUCUUUCCACCCUCCAUCUUGGGUCAGGAGGACCCAAAUUGAUGAAGAUUAUAGAGUUCAACCUCUGGGGCACGGGAUAAAGUGGAGAAUGGAUAUGAAGGGACAAAUAGAAAAUAUCUAGCAUAUCCCCAGAAGUCAUGCCAAAUGGGAACUAAUUACCCCAGUCACUAUAUCACAUCUGAUUAAUCACUUUAAGUUAAAAAAAGACCUUAGGUGCGAUCUACUAAGACUAUUUAAAAUUUUCUCUGUGGUAUGGACACUCAUACCCUGCAUACCCCUUUACACUAAUUCUUUGUGUAAAGUCUUUCACUCAAAAUGCAGAUUCCCUAAAGUUAGGUUGCAGAAUUUUGCCCGGUAGAAUCAUAAAAAUCUACCUGAGAGUACUCUUCAGGGAACCAUUCUUUAAUUUACUAGUCUGUAUGAUUAUUAGAUUUCACAAUUUCACAGCUAAGUUAACCUAUUGCUGUAUUCUAUUAUAUCCAAUUAAGAAAAUGGAUACUUACAUAACUUAAUAUUUUGUAUCAUUGAUUAAUCUACUAGACUUUGAUUCUGUGAUUUUUGUGGGGAGUAUCUGUCCUUGAGCUCAGUGGGAUGAGUUCUAUGUGGGUUACAGGCUUUCCAUGAAGCUUUGAAUGCUUACCAUAUGCAUUUACUCAUUCAUUAUUUAUUUACUCAUGGUCCACUACAUGCCAAACAUUCUGCUAACUGCUGAAUGAAUGACAGAAUCAGAAUAAGAAAUGGGGUUUUGAUGCAUCCUUAAACAGUAUGAAGUUUUCAUAUGUUCAAGUUUCCUUCUCUUGGGCAAGAUCUCAUGAGAGCUUCCCAGUAUUGACUUCAAACAUCACCUAUGUUCAUCCCCCUCUUCAACACACUGACCCAUGUGUUUUUCUCUAUACUGUCUUCUCUGGUCCUAGCACUGAUUAGUUUUUAUUAGUUGGAAUAUGCAAAAUAAUUUAUUUAGAAAAAGUAUGAGUGGCACAUUUUAUGAGUUUAUGUUGUUUGAAAUAUUAGUAAAUCAAUAUUACUUAAUAUAUUCCACCUACUUCCUUCAAUGAAAUUAUGUCAUAAAUCUAUAACUCAAGAUUCUUUCAAAAAAUGUUAAGCUUUUUACAUUUUAAAAUAAAUUUAUGCCCUGUUUACCCAUUUCUCCCACCCCACCCCCCAACCUGGAAACCACCAAUCUGUUCUCUGUAUCUAUAGGACUGUUUUUUGGGUUUUGUUUGUUUUGUUUUUAGAUUCCAAAUAUAAGAGAGAUUAUCUGAUAUUGGUCUUUCUCUGUCUGACUUAUUUCACUUAUCAUAAUGCCCUAGAUCCAUCCAUGUUGUCACGAAUGUCAAGAUCUUAAACUUUUUAUGGCUGAAUUAUAUAUAUAUAUUCUUUGUCCAUUCAUCCAUUGAUAGACACUUAAGUUUUGUCAAUAUCUUGGCUGUUGUAAAUGAUGCUACAAUAAAUAUAGGGUGCAUACAUCUUUUUGAGUUAGUGGGGUUUUUUUUUGAUAAACAUCUAGAAGUGGAAUUUAUGGCUCAUAUAGCAAUUCUAUUUUAAAUUUUCUGAGGAAGUCCCAUGCUGUUUUUCAUAGUGGCUGAACCAAUUUACAUUUUCACAAACAGUACACAAAAGUUUCCUGUUUCUCCACAUCCUUGCCAACACUUGUUAUUUCUUGUCUUUUUUAUCAUAGUCUCUCUAACAGAUGUGAGGUGAUAUUUUUAAAUGUCUUACCAUUUUUAGAUCAGAUUAUUUUUCUUUGUUGUUUUUUUGCCAUUGAGCUAUAUGAGUUCUUUGUAUGUUCGUGACAUCAGUCCCUUAUCAUACAUAUGAUUUGCAAAUAUUUUCUCACAUUCAGUAAAUUGUCUUUUCAUUUUGUUUCUGAUUCCUUUGCUGUGUAGAAGCUUUUUAGUAUGAUAUAGUCCCACUCAUUAAUUUUUGCCUUUUUUGCUUUUGCUUUUGGUAUCAGAUUUAAAAAGUCACAAUAUAUAAUCUAUUCUUAAUAGUCUAAUCUUUGCCCAAUAAACAUAUCACCUAUGUAUUUUAGUCACAUAAAAUGGAGGUGAGGCCAGUAUAAGAGACUUUUAUGUGAAUUCUAAGAAAGUAUGCUCUUACAUUUUAAUGGAUGCUAAACUAAAUUUUGACAUAAAUGAAGUUAUUAGGGGCAUGUAAACAUAUGAAAUGAAUACAAAUAUUACCAACCACUGUUUUAGUCUAGUAUUUUUUGGAAUACAUUGACAAAGGUGAUUAUUAAUUUAAAUUUUUUUUUCAUUUAUUUUUGAGAGAGAGGGGCACAGCGCUAGCAGGGGAGGGGUAGAGAGAGAAGGAGACAUAGAACAUGAAGCAGGCUUCAGGCUCCGAGCUGUCAGCAGAGAGCCUGACAAAGGUCUCGAACCCACGAACCGUGAGACCAUGAUCUGAGCCGAAGUUGGACACUCAACUGACUGAGCCAUCCAGGCGCCCCUGGCAAUUGUUAAUUUUUAAAGUCAAAGUUCAACUCAAUAUUGAGUUUGCUUGCAACAGAACCAAAAAUUUCAGUUGAUUUCUGUCUAGUUUAUGUUGUUAAUCCCAGGGAUUUGUUUUAUGCAGGGAAUAAUAAACCUUAUAUGGCAUGGCAACUGUUUCAAAUAGAGAAGUAUCAAAUUAUUUAAACUCUAAAUUUAGAUACCAGAAGAUUUGUUUGCUGUUUGAAUGGACAGUAAGAGAGAUUCCUGUUUAUUUUACAUCGUUGAUUUACCUGAAUUGACUGCAGUUACAUGUGCAUCUGGGAGUGGGACUACUCUAAUAUCUGCCAACUGCAAAAUCACAAUGUUAGAUAGGAAUUCAAAUGAUCUCUGUUCUUUUUUCCCCCUUAAAGUAACACUCUCCCUGACAUUACAUGACCUUUAUUAAAUUCAGCAACUUCCCUCGGCGUGAUUAAUGAUGAAAAAACUCAAUUAAUGGAUGUGUUUCUUUGCAGCAUAAAUAAGACCUGCAUCUUUAAAUCAUUCAGUGGAUUCUUACAGCUUCUGGGAACAAGUCCAAGUUCCUUAGCAUGCCAUGCAAGACCCUUCUCAAUCUUGCCCUACGUUCUUUCCUUUUCACCUUAUAUUCCAGUUAUAUUAAAAUUCUCUCUCUCCCCUAGAUCACCAACUUCUCUCUUUCAUCUUCCACACUUUUAUAAUCACUGCUCCUCUUGUUGGACUGCUUUUGCUCUUUCUCUAGCCCUUUCAUCUGGACAACUCUUUGUCAUUUAAGAACAAAAUAGCAAAACUACCUUCUCUUAAGAGUUUAUUCUGACCAUCUCAAUAUCAAUGAAAAUUAGGAGGCAUUCUUAUGCUCUGCAAUAACAUGCAAUACUUUUCUGGUUCAUAACACUUAUAAUAGCAAAUUAUAAUGAUCGGUUUAUUUGUCCACCUCUCCCGGUAGACUGUUUCUUGAUAAUGGAGAUUGUGUCUCAUUUACCUUUCUUAUUUAACGCUGAAAAUAUAUAUCUAUUGUAAUGCCUAUUCUAUGUGCCCCACCCCCCCCAAGAAAAACCCUUAACUGAUAACAUUUGAAGCAAUGUUGAUGAUAUGAUUCUCUUGAAAUUUUGAACGUUUAAGUUUUACUUCAUUGUCAUUAUAAUGAAGUCAACCUUCACUUUGAAAAGACCACAUCAUAAAAAUUGGAAAAAAGGUCACAAUAUCUCUGUUUUGGUUUUGGUCAUACUAACUAAUUGUGUAAAAAUGAGUGAUAUGUUCUUUAUAGUUUUGGUUGGGGGAAGUUCUAGGAUACCAAAUAACUAGUUUGAUAGACUUUCUCAUAUUGCUACUUUAUUAUUGUUUAACUCUAACUGAAAAGUGAUAAUUUAUGUAAGAUAAAUCCCUUGACUUGACAGAAGUUGAGUUGGUCUAGACAAGUAUUUUCAUAUUCUUUCUCAUUUCCAUAUUGAAUAGCUAUGUUCUUUAUUAUUAAACCUCUCUAGCUCAAGAAAUAGAAUUUUACUCUUCAAUAUUGCAAGAAAGAUCUUAAGAAUUUUAUGCUUUUGGGGAACACUAUUUCCAGAUGCCAGGAAUAGAGUAUAUUUAUUUCUUGUUCCAUGGAAUAUAGUCUCUGUAUUGGGUUUACGUUACAGAUCCUCCUCUUAGGAACAUUAAGGAUGAUCUACAGAAGAAGUGUUUGAGGGAAUCCUGGACGCUCAUCCUCUGCCUGUGGUGGAGGGAAAAAAAACCUUUGGGACUACAGAAGAGUAGCAUAUCCCAUAUCUCAGUUUAGGAUUAGCAUAAUGAUAAUAAUAACAUAGAAGUUCUGACUGGGUGUUGGAAUUCUCUGUAUAGUUUUUAAAAAUACAGAUGACUCCAUUUUCAGAUUCACUGAGUCAGAAAUUCAAUGCUUGCACAACUGGUAUGUUGUGUUUUCUAAAAUCCCCAAAGGCCACUCACACUUAAUGCUUACUUGAAACCUACCGUAUUAUUUCAUGUUUUAUAGCACUUAUAAUUUCCAUGUUAUUUUCCCAUAUUUUUCUUUUAAUUUUCACAAUAGUACCAAGAGAUAAAAUAUAUCCUGUUUCAUGAAUGAACAAGCUGAAUCCCAGAGGUAGUUGGCAAUCUUGAGGGUAUGCAAAAUCCGUGUUCUGAUUGUAAGCCCCAAACUUCCCUCUGCAAAUACAGAAGUUAAAUAUUUCAAAAUAGUUGCAACCAAAGUACCUGUAUUUGUUUAAUUCUCUGACACUAAUCAUUAUACUUCUCAUUAUACAGAGAUUGUAAACGAUUUUACUUCAUUUUGGUGUAAUAUGAAAAUACUCUUAAAUGUUUAUGGGCUUAAGAUUUUAAAUUAUAAGAUCAGGUAUAUGAUAGUCAUUAUUUUUAUCAUGGUCCUUUUUAAAAAAAUUUUUUAACGUUUAUUUAUUUUUGAGACAGAGAGAGACAGAGCAUGAACAGGGGAGGGGCAGAGAGAGAGAGACACACAGAUUCGGAAGCAGGCUCCAGGCUCUGAGCCAUCAGCCCAGAGCCCGACGCGGGGCUCGAACUCAUGGACCGCAAGAUCGUGACCUGAGCUGAAGUCAGACGCUUAAGGGACUGAGCCACCCAGGCACCCCUAUCAUGGUCCUUUUUUUAAGUUCAAAGUCAUUAUCACUAGUCAUCACUACCAAUGAGAAUACUUUAGAUAUUUUAAAUAAAACAAUUAAAAAUGGAAUCUAUUCCUUUCAUCUCUAAUUUGAACUUAUUUAAGAAUCUUUGUUUCAGUUAUUCUGAGAAGAAAAGUAAAUGUACGAUAUUUUAAUUUUUGAUUAAAAUGCGAUUAUAGGCACAUGUAAGUUACAAUAUGUAUCACAUAUCUUAACUGUACAAGCUUAUAUUUGGUAAAUAGAAUAAACACUGACAAUAUAAAAUACACAAAUUCAGCACAGUGAUUCGUAAUUGUUUAGGGCAUUAUUUCUUUGGGAAAAGAUAAUAUUUAUACUAAAAAGAAAAAUGAAAAAUAUAUUCUUUCAAUAUAUUGAGUCAACUUCUCAAUAUAAGAGCCAACUUCAAAGGCUAUAGUUGAUGGGCAGUAUGAUAUUGAACCAAAUUUUCCUAUUACAGAAUGGCUCUAAAUAACAUCUCUUUAAAAUUCAUGGCCUAAUUCUUUCUCUGCUGUGUGUUUGCUUCCAUGUCGGGAAGAGGAUGAAAGAAAGGGUUGAACAUUGUUAACAUUUCCAUCUGAAAAAGGCACCCAUAUCUUUACACCCAAAAUAUCCUUAUUUUUCUCAAAAUUGCUUUGCCCACCUUUUAAAAUUCUCAUCUUGAGAAAUUUGGAGUGUGAGCAUUUGUCUACUUCUGAACUGUUCUUUAGAGUAGAUACAGUGAAUGACCUAUGACAGUCAGUUUGUAACACUAUGAAUGAAUAAUUUAAGACCUUUAAUCUUAAGAAUACCACCUGGCACCAACAGACAAGCGGGACACUCUUUUACCUGUCCUCCUGCUGUUCUAAGCUAUCUCCUCCAAUAAAGAUGAAUUUACUUACAGACUCUUACAGACUAUAGAGAUAUGAUAUUAGCUCUUAAUCUAGGAGCAACUGUUACCAGAUUCUGAUUACACUUAAAAAUUUUCCUAGGAAAGAAGAUACAUUAUUAAAAUAUGCUUAAACAUUGUGUGUGUGUGUGUGUGUGUGUGUGUGUGUGACAGAACUUUUGAAACAUAGCUUUUAACCUAAAUACAGAUGGGUAGGUGGCUACGUUUCUUCAAAAUAUUAUUUAACCAAAAAAAUUUGUAUACUCACAAUUGACAUUCCAUAAUUUCCUUACAGUGAUAAUAGGAAAUGGUCAUAAUUACAAAAUUUCAAAAUGCUUUUUUCUGGCUUUCCCAAGUGGCUGUUCCUUCACUUUUUAUUCAGUAAGCUUCUGGGGCGCCUGGGUGGCGCAGUUGGUUAAGCGUCCGACUUCAGCCAGGUCGCGAUCUCGCGGUCCGUGAGUUCGAGCCCCGCGUCAGGCUCUGGGCUGAUGGCUCAGAGCCUGGAGCCUGUUUCUGAUUCUGUGUCUCCCUCUCUCUCUGCCCCUCCCCCUGUUCAUGCUCUGUCUCUCUCUGUCUCAAAAAUAAAUAAAAACGUUAAAAAAAAAAUUAAAAAAAAAAUAAGCUUCCUUCAAAAGCCUUCCUUCAAAACUUCCUUCAAAAGUAACACUUAGUGUAAUAAUAUAAGAUCCAUAAGGCACAUUGCGAUUUUUAUUUGCUCUCUUCAUUGACCUAUUUCCCAGUACCUAAAACAGUAAGUCUUUUUAGGUGCACACAACAAACAUUUGUUGAAUGAAUGAAUAAAAUGUACAUGAGAUGUCAGUGUUCCAUAGCUAAGCAUUUUCAAUAUGAAGAUAUAAUAAGAAAUGAUCAUAAAACUUGAGUUCACAGUCCUUUCUUUCCCAAAUUCUAUUCCAAAACAAACCUCCAUAUCUCUAGGGAAGCUAUGGUCGGUCUGCACAAUAGUAUUAGAAGAGGGUGGGAUUCUGGAAUACAAUUAGGGAUACAAAAGCUCUAUGCCCACUUUAACUUCCAAUAUUGCCACUCUAUAAAGUUAAGCCCUUUCACUAAAUAUUUGCAGGAGUAACUUAUUUCAUUUUAUCUUUUAAGGUUUAUUUUAAUUAGAAACAUAAAAAUCCAUACCCAGUUGGGAAACUAAAAAAUAUUUCAUAUGCUACAUUCAGUCAGAUUAAGGCACUUCCUGAAACACAUUUAUAGUUCAUUUGCUUUUCCAUGUAAAUGUAAUUCUUAUGUUUUUUUUUUUCUUUUCAGAAUUUUCUUGUCCAAUGGAUGGCUUGUUCAAGAAGCUUAUUUUCUUAGGAGUGCCUGGGGUGGCUCAGUCGGUGCGUCUAACGUCGGCUCAGGUCAUGAUCUCAUGGUUUGUGGGUUCAAGCCCCGCGUCCGGCUCUGUGCGGGCAGCUCAGAGCCUG
rnacentral:lncRNA from 1 species